UACGUAGGUGGCAAGCGUUGUCCGGCUUCAUUGGGCGUAAAGAGCGUGUAGGCGGCCAGGUAGGUCGGUUGUGAAAACUGGAGGCUCAACCUUCAGAGGUCGACCGAAACCAUCUGGCUAGAGUCCGGGAGAGGAGAGUGGAAUUCCUGGUGUAGCGGUGAAAUGCGCAGAUAUCAGGAAGAACACCCGUGGCGAAAGCGGCUCUCUGGAACGGUACUGACGCUGAGACGCGAAAGCGUGGGGAGCGAACAGG
rnacentral:rRNA from 1 species